GGGCUUGUAGCAUAAUCUGGUAAUGCGCCGCCCUUGCAAGGCGGAGAUUUCGGGUUCAAAUAUUAAUAUCUCAAGCAACAAUGCUUGGAAUGUCAAUGAGAAAAUCCCGACGAGUCCA
rnacentral:tRNA from 1 species